rnacentral:rRNA from 1 species
UACGAAGGGGGCUAGCGUUGUUCGGAAUUACUGGGCGUAAAGCGCACGUAGGCGGAUACUUAAGUCAGGGGUGAAAUCCCGGGGCUCAACCCCGGAACUGCCUUUGAUACUGGGUAUCUCGAGUCCGGAAGAGGUGAGUGGAAUUCCGAGUGUAGAGGUGAAAUUCGUAGAUAUUCGGAGGAACACCAGUGGCGAAGGCGGCUCACUGGUCCAUUACUGACGCUGAGGUGCGGAAGCGUGGGGAGCAAACAGG